rnacentral:SRP_RNA from 1 species
GCCCGGCACGGUGACGCGUGCCUGUAGUCCUAGCUACUCGGGAGGUUGAGGCUGGAGAAUCCCUUGAGUUCAGGAGUUCUGGGCUGUAGUGCGCUAUACCCACUGGGUGUCCGCACUAAGUUCGGCAUCAAUAUGGUGACCUCCCGGGAGUGGGGGACCACCAGGUUGCCUAAGGAGGGGUGAACCGGCCCAGGUCAGAAAUGGAGCAGGUUAAAACUCCCGUACUGGUCAGUAGAGGGAUUGUGCCUGUAAAUAGCCACUGCACUCCAGCCUGGGCAACAUAGCGAGACCCUGCCUCU